rnacentral:rRNA from 1 species
CCUACGGGUGGCAGCAGUGGGGAAUAUUGGACAAUGGGCGAAAGCCUGAUCCAGCCAUGCCGCGUGUGUGAAGAAGGCCUUCGGGUUGUAAAGCACUUUCAGUGGGGAAGAAAGCCUUGGGGCUAAUACCCUCGAGGAAGGACAUCACCCACAGAAGAAGCACCGGCUAACUCCGUGCCAGCAGCCGCGGUAAUACGGAGGGUGCGAGCGUUAAUCGGAAUUACUGGGCGUAAAGGGCGCGUAGGCGGUCUGAUAAGCCGGUUGUGAAAGCCCCGGGCUCAACCUGGGAACGGCAUCCGGAACUGUCAGGCUAGAGUGCAGGAGAGGAAGGUAGAAUUCCCGGUGUAGCGGUGAAAUGCGUAGAGAUCGGGAGGAAUACCAGUGGCGAAGGCGGCCUUCUGGACUGACACUGACGCUGAGGUGCGAAAGCGUGGGUAGCAAACAGGAUUAGAUACCCCGGUAGUC